AUUGAACGCUGGCGGCAGGCCUAAUACAUGCAAGUCGAACGGUAACAGUAGAAAAGCUUGCUUUUCUAGCUGACGAGUGGCGGACGGGUGAGUAACAUUUGGGAAACUACCUGAUAGAGGGGGACAACAGUUGGAAACGAAGGAUAAUACUGGAUAGGACAUUAUAAAUCACAUGAUUAAAUGUUUAAAGGAGCGAUCCACCAUAAGAGGGGCCUGCGGCGCAUUAGCUAGUUGGUGAGGUAAAGGCCCACCAAGGCGAUGAUGCGUAGCUGGACUGAGAGGUUGAACAGCCACAAUGGGACUGAGAACGGCCCAUACUCC
rnacentral:rRNA from 1 species